rnacentral:pre_miRNA from 1 species
AUCCUACUCCCUCCGUUCGGAAUUACUUGUCUCGGAAAUGGAUGUAUCUAGAACUAAAAUACGUCUAGAUACAUCCAUUUCUGCGACAAGUAAUUCCGAACGGAGGGAGUACAUA